ACAAAAAGAGAAUUUUUUUUAAAUGGAAGAGUAAACAAUCGUUUAAUUACAGUCAAAGUUUUGCUUUCAUGUGCAUAUUUUAGAGAAUAAAACCACACAACACACAAACACACAUGCCAGACAGAUCAAAUGAGAUAGAAGAGGCGAUUCAAAAGCAGCAGAAAGCAAAAAAAAACACCUCAAUUUUAAUACAUCAACUGUUUUGUGCACAUACUCGGAUACCAUAUUCGCAGAGUCGUGUACACACAAAACGGCUCGGUUCAGUCAAUUCAGUGAGGCACGCGGGCACAAACGGCAAACGUCAUACCAAUUCAAACGAUCUAUUACGAUCUCCAAAUCACUACUUACAAUUAUGCAAACUUUGUUUUGCGCUGUGAAUAUACUAUUCCACUAUGCAAUAUGGAUAGUUCAAAUACAAACUCAUCGCAUACAAUCAACCAACCGACCGACCGAAUGAACGACCAAACGACCGAACGACCAAACAUCACAUUCCAAUUCCGUUCAUUUUUCUCAUUCUCUUCGGAUUUUAUUUGUUGUAUAUUUUCAAUGGUUUUUGAUGUUUCUCAUUUAACGGGCCACAAACCAUUCGAGAGAGAAAAAAAAAAUAUCUAUCUAUCUAUCUAUGUAUCGC